CAUAAGUACAACCCUGAACGGUGGAUCACUCGGCUCGUGGGUCGAUGAAGAACGCAGCAAAUUGCGCGUCGACAUGUGAACUGCAGGACACAUGAACAUCGACAUUUCGAACGCACAUUGCGGUCCAUGGAUUCCGUUCCCGGACCACGCCUGGCUGAGGGUCGGUAGCUAAAA
rnacentral:rRNA from 4 species